GACCAUUUUACUCUGAAUAGGGGGGAUGGAAAUAUUCCAAACCCCUAUUGGAUAAAGAAAACAAUUCUGGUUCUAUAGAUGAUAAAAAAUAUUCUGAAUCAAGAGUUUCCCCAUACAUUAUAGUGUUAAAUGUUGAAGAAAAAUAAUUUGAUUACCAGGAUAAAAAAAAACAAAAAAAAAAAAAAAAAAAAAACCGUAAAACGUUUGCGCGGAAAUAAUUCUGACUCAGAUAAAUAAAAAAAUACCCCCCC
rnacentral:lncRNA from 1 species